UAGCCUAGUGGUUAAGGCUAUGGAUCGCCAACCCGGAGACGGCGGGUUCGACUCCCGC
rfam:Aedes albopictus isolate Foshan contig25835, whole genome shotgun sequence.